UUAACUACUAUGAUAGAGAAGAGUAGAUAGAUAUAAAUGUUACAGCGAGUCAGGGAUGGUGAAAGCCUGAUACCUACGAUCUAUUGAAGAUCAUCUCUUAGUAGUCGGCCUGAAGAAUCAGUAGGGUUGACCGGUAGCAGCCGUUAUUUGUCUGGAGAUAGGGAUAUUGAAGAUCAGUAUCUCUAACUAGGGUGGUACCGCAAGCUAUGCCUUGCCCCUGAU
rnacentral:ncRNA from 1 species